rnacentral:rRNA from 1 species
UACGUAGGGUGCUAGCGUUGUCCGGAUUUAUUGGGCGUAAAGAGCUCGUAGGCGGCUUGGCAAGUCGGGUGUGAAACCUCCAGGCUCAACCUGGAGACGCCACUCGAUACUGCCAUGGCUAGAGUCCGGUAGGGGACCACGGAAUUCCUGGUGUAGCGGUGAAAUGCGCAGAUAUCAGGAGGAACACCGGUGGCGAAGGCGGUGGUCUGGGCCGGCACUGACGCUGAGGAGCGAAAGCGUGGGUAGCAAACAGG